CUCCCUGUGCUGAGGCAGCCACGCGGUGCCGUUGCAGAUGAGCAGAGUGCGGGCGGACGAGGAGGAGUACUGGCACAGCUCCAAGUUCCGGGCCUUCACCUUUGACGAUGAGGAUGACGAGCUCUCGCAGCUAAAGGAGUCCAAACGGGCAGUGAACAGCCUUCGGGAUAUUGUCGAUGAUGAUGAUGAUGACCUCGAGAGGGUCAGCUGGAGUGGAGAACCUGUGGGAAGUAUCUCCUGGUCAAUCAAAGAGACAGCCUCUGGCAGCACUAGCUCCCUGGAUGGCAGAGACUCCAGUCUACAGAAAGGCUCCUCCUCUUAUGCUUCUGCUCUUCCCAAACAAGCUUCUUCCUACUCCCUAAGCAGCCUGUUCAAAGGACGAAACAAACUCUCAAGUUUCCAGUCCCUUUCAGAUGCCCUCACUGACACGGGAGUUAAAAACUAUGCCCCAGAGCUGCGCAGACCGAAAGCUGAGUACAAGGAUUACAGUGGUGACUGGAGCCCCAAAGAUACAGUCAGGAGAAUGCAGAGGGGCAAGGUCUGCUCUCUAGAGAGAUUUCGCUCCCUGCAGGACAAGCUGGUGCUCUUGGAUGAAGCUGUGGCAGGGCAUGAUGGGAAUGUCAUUACAGCUGUCCUGAUAUUCCUGAAACGGACACUGAGGAGAGAGAUCUUGUUUCGGGAGCUGGAGGUGCGGCAGGUGGCCUUGUGCCAUCUGAUCCAUUUCCUCAGAGAGACGGGGGAGCAGAAGUUCCUUCUGGAUCUGCUCAGGUUCUUAGACAGGACUGAGGAAGUUGCUCUGUCUCAGUACCGGGAGCAUUUGAACAUCCAGGAUGUAGAAAAAAGGAGGGAAUUUCUGAAAGGUUGCAUUGGGCUGCCAUUUUCAGCUGAGGAUACCUCCCACAUCCAAGACCAUUAUACCCUGUUGGAGCGACAGAUCAUCAUUGAGGCUAAUGAUCGGCACUUGGAGAUGGCUGGGCAGUCAGAGCUGUUUCGGAAGUAUCCUCGCAAGGCUUCAAUUCUCAACAUGCCACUAGUGACCACCCUCUUCUAUUCCUGUUUCUACCACUACACAGAGGCUGAGGGAAUGUUCAGCAGCCCCACCAACCUGAAGAAGACAUUUAAGAUUCCUGAUAAGCAGUAUGUGCUGACUGCCCUGGCAGCCCGUGCCAAGCUGCGGGCCUGGGGUGAUGUGGAUGCCCUCCUCACCACCAAGAACUGGCUGGGUUACACCAAGAAGAAGGCACCUAUUGGCUUCCACCGGGUAGUGGAGAUCUUGCAGAGGAACAAUGCUCCAGUGCAGGUGCUGCAGGAAUAUGUGCGCCUGGUGGAAGAUGUGGAGACCCGGCUGAACCUCGCUACCAAAUACAAGUGCCAUGAUGUUGUCAUAGAGCUGGGUGCUGGUUUUGCCCUUUAUCUAGACCUACCGGGAUCUAAAGGAUCGUAUCCAGCUGACAGCAUAUAAAGGCAAGGUGGAGCGGGGCUCUGCAGAAGAAGAGAAGAUAAACAGCAUUCUCAGCAACACACAAAUCCGGUGGAAGAAUUGAACACCUGUGGAACAGCCUGUUUGGCCAUCACCUUGUCACUGAAAGAGGGAACUGCAGAACCCAGUCCAGAGCCAACAGAGCAGCUCUGUUACUACUCAUUGCAUGAUCAGCAUUCGUCGGUGACAGUGGAUGCCCGUGCCCAGUGGGACCGUGGUGUUCAGGCUGGUUGAAGACAGCUACUACUAAACUGUGGCUGGCAAAAGCAUGGUACUGAUCCAGCAGGGUUGAUUCUUUUUGGAAUCUGAUUGUAUUUGACCUGGCUGUAAGCCAGGCAUCACUUGUGUGUAUGGAGGGAAGUUGCUGGGCACAGCAAGAUGAAUGUUUGCUCUGGGUGGUGCCUGGGCUUGUUCUUGCAAGAGGAGCAUGUCAGUCACAUUUGUGAGUCUCUCCAACAGAGAGUGCCGACCAGUCCCUGUAACAGUCAAGCUGGCUUGGGCAUCACUAAUCAUGGCUGUGUCUGGAGUAAAACCUACCUGGAACAUGUUCUCCCUGUGUGAAAGUGCUGGGAGGCAAAGGACCACUUGCAUUUUUUUUUCUUUUUUUAAUUCUGGCUCACUCUAGGAAAAGAGGUGUGUGAACUCAUGCAGAGAGCCAGGACAGCAACCUCUGCCAGUAUCCUUCUGCUUGCACUCUGCAGCAUUUGGAAGAUCCCUUUAUGAGGGAAAUACCUAGUGUAGAGGUGGUCAGAGUCCAUAUGGGUUGGAUGGAGAGCAAGCAGGAAGCUCUCUCAGUUGACACAAACCUGCUGGCCCUAGCAGCUCUUUUCUCAGAAAGUGUUAUGCCAGGAAGGACUGAAAUGCACUUUCUCAGAAACACAACUCCUCAGGCAGCUGCUGGCUUCAUCCUUUCAGACCUCACUUCAAUUCUGUAAAUAAAGUUGUCUCUUUCUCCUUG